ensembl:lncRNA
GAGGCAAAAGACUCCACCCUCAGAUCAGGCUAAUCCCACCAUUUUGUGAGCAUGCGUCCUAUGAAGAGGCAUGGAGUAUGACUACGCUUGCGCAGAUCAUCAAUUACCUCACGGCUCCUCACCUCCAAUCACCUGUCUCCACAUUUCAGACCACCUUGCCGCAACCCAGAAAUAUCCCUGAGUCCCCAUUUUCAGGGAAGUGGAUUUGAGACUCACGCUCUCACUUUCUCACAGACUGCCUUGUGAGUAAACCCUCUCUCUGCUGCAGUCUUGUCGUCUCGGUGUUUGGCUUUCCAGGCCGCAGGCAAAAACGAACUUGGUGUGGUAACAGCUAUGUGAGUGAAGAUUACUCCAGAUAAUUCCAGCCCCCGGAUGCUGAGUUGCUUCAAACUUUCAAGUCUUCCUGGCUGAGACCCUAGACAGGGGUGGAGCAGAGGACAGGCAACUUAGGAGCCUUAAGCCCAGCUCUCCUGAAAUCAACAUGCUAAAGAUACUACACAGAGAGGGCAAGGUUUGACGACUGUUGAUGAUAGAGAAAGGAGCUCAUGGAACUGAAAUUUUUCAAUAUCCUGCAAGGCCUUUCCUUGUCCAACUGAAGAAGAACACGACUUCAGUCAGUGGGUCUCAGCAGGUGCCACAGAAGAAGCACAUGCCAGCUGUGUGUUCUACAGCCUCGAGCUGUUCAAGAGAGUCAGCCAUCUGUCCCUCCACUAUAAGCCAGCAAGAGCACAGUCCUAACUCUUAUCAGAGAGCGCCACAUUUGGAAGAUGGACUUCCUGGGACAUUAAGGACAAACACACACUACGGAGCAGAGUCGCCUAAGCAUAAGUAAUACACAUAUUCUUUAAAAUAUUCUUAGUUAAAAGCCAAUCAUAAAUCAAUGCUUUGAACAAAACAUUUCCACUUAAAUUUGCAUGGAACAGCUUUAUAUUUAGACUUGAGGCUUUAUUUCUUUAAGAGGCAGUCUAUGACUAAAGAAAAAUUAUUUCAGGUGGUUUAUGCUUGGAGAGGUCUCAAGAUCCAUUGAUUUUCCUAGGGAUACACUCACCGAAAUAGAUGAGUUCCAGAAAAUCUCUUAAGGGUGUGCAACCCAAUUAAAUCUGGGCCACAUAGUCCUUCCUGAAGUAGAGCCAUAUUUUAAAAAUGCAGCCUGAUAGUCAAAUACAGUCAAAAGCAAGCAUCUGUGUUAAUACCACCUCAAUAUAGAGAUAGAAAUAUUCCACUCUCCAGGAGCCCCCUGUAUAUCCUUAAUUGAUUAUAAUUCCACUCAUCUAAAAAUAACCACUAUCCUGAAUUUUAUGCUAGUCAAUUACUUCUCUUUAUAGUUUUAAAUCUAUACAUACAUUUCUGAAAUAGCAUAGUUUAUUCUUUGCCUGCGGUGAAUCGUGUGUAUACACAUACAUAUGUAUAUAUGUACAUAUCUAUCUAUCUAUCUUGCUAUAGAUAUUCUUCAGUGUCUUGUUUCUUUCCCUCAGAUGUGGAUAUAGAUAUAGAUGCAGCUAUGAUUGGUAUGUAGAACUGUAGUUCAUUUUCAUUUUUAUUAUUUGUCUAUGUAUUUGAUUGUCUGAUUUUACCACAAUUUAUCCAUCCAUUCUACUACUGAUGCAUAUUUAGAUUUAUUUACAUUUUACCAAUUUGAGGUUCUUACAAAUCACACUGCUAUGAACAUUCUCACACAUGUAUCCUGAAGCAAAUAUAUACAAGUUUCUCUAAGGAGUAUAAUUAGUAUUAGAGUUGUUGGAAUAUCCACACACCCCUCUCCAACUUUAGUGGAUGUGGCACAUGAGUUUCCCCAUGAAACAGAUUCUGUGACAGAGAUUUAUGUGCAGGGAGUUGACUGGAGAAAGCUUGCACACUCAGCACUCCUGGGAAAUGAGACAGAAGCAAGAUUGAGCAAAAUGAGGCCACAGUCAACUCCACGUAGAUCCCUGGAGCUGUGGCAAUGCCUCGGAGUUAUUUUA